rnacentral:rRNA from 1 species
CCUACGGGUGGCUGCAGUCGGGAAUAUUGCACAAUGGAGGAAACUCUGAUCCAGUGACGCCGCGUGCAGGAAGAAGGUUUUCGGAUUGUAAACUGCUUUAGACAGGGAAGAAACAAGACAGUACUUGUAGAAUAAGCUCCGGCUAACUACGUGCCAGCAGCCGCGGUAAUACGUAGGGAGCAAGCGUUAUCCGGAUUUCGUGGGUGUAAAGGGUGCGUAGACGGGAAUUUAAGUUAGUUGUGAAAUCCCUCGGCUUAACGGAGGAACUGCAACUAAAACUGAAUUUCUUGAGUGCGGGAGAGGAAAGUGGAAUUCCUAGUGUAGCGGUGAAAUGCGUAGAUAUUAGGAGGAACACCAGUGGCGAAGGCGACUUUCUGGACCGUAACUGACGUUGAGGCACGAAAGUGUGGGGAGCAAACAGGAUUAGAUACCCCUGUAGUC